GGCGAACGGGUGCGUAACACGUGAACAACCUGCCCGAGCGAGGGGGAUAGCCGGCCCAACGGCCGGGUAAUACCGCAUAUGCUCACAGCGUCUUAUGGCGCAGUGAGGAAACCUUCGGGGCGCUCGGAGGGGUUCGCGACCUAUCAGCUAGUUGGCGAGGUAACGGCUCACCAAGGCUACGACGGGUAGCUGGUCUGAGAGGAUGGCCAGCCACAUUGGGACUGCGACACGGCCCAGACUCCUACGGGAGGCAGCAGUGGGGAAUAUUGCGCAAUGGUCGAAAGACUGACGCAGCGACGCCGCGUGGAGGAUGACGCCCUUCGGGGUGUAAACUCCUGUUGCUCGGGACGAAUAGCGAGAUUCAUCUCGCCUGACGGUACCGAGUGAGGAAGCACCGGCUAACUCUGUGCCAGCAGCCGCGGUAAUACAGAGGGUGCGAGCGUUGUCCGGAAUCACUGGGCGUAAAGGGCGCGUAGGCGGUUCGACAAGCGUGCGGUGAAAGCUCGGGGCUCAACCCCGAGUCGGCCGUGCGAACUGUCGGACUAGAGCACAGUAGAGGCAGAUGGAAUUCCGGGUGUAGCGGUGGAAUGCGUAGAGAUCCGGAAGAACACCGGUGGCGAAGGCGGUCUGCUGGGCUGUGGCUGACGCUGAUGCGCGACAGCGUGGGGAGCAAACAGGAUUAGAUACCCUGGUAGUCC
rnacentral:rRNA from 1 species